rnacentral:lncRNA from 1 species
GAAACUCAGGUCCCAGCUUGCAGGAGCGGGAACGCAGAAGAGAUAAGUGAGCGGGAAGGAAGUUGCAUUCAGAAGAUACAACACAUAGACAUAAGCACUCUGAUUCAAUAGAAGAGGAAGUUUCCCCAUGAUGUCUCCAGCCUGGGUCCCCAGCCACCCUUCUGAGAGUAUCUGAGUUGAUGUGGAAAUAUGAACACAACACCACGCUCUUGGUGUCAGAUCUCCAGCUCCAAUGCUGAGUCCAAUGUACAAAUCUUGUAACCCUUGGCAGACUUGCCCUCAUCUUCACUUCCUCCUCUACACUUUUGGGUUUUCCAAGUUUGAGGGAAAGGCAGAGGUCUCCAAUGGCUCUGAUCUCCUAUGCAGUGGUGUUAUUAUUUGUUUGCUUGCUUAUUUGUUGACUGCCCACAACCCAGUUCUUCACCCAUAGCCCUAUUUUAUUUUCCUUUGGAGAACUACCACUAUCAGCCCCAUCCCUCACUUCAGCGGGGAGUCUGUGAAUUGUGCAGGGAGCACUGUCCAAUUGACAUAGCUCAUCACCAACAAUGCUGCGGCCAAUUUUAAGAACAAGCCCGUGUCCAAUUGCCUCUAAAGAUCCAAGUUCCAGGAUUUUUGCCACACCUUCAGGAAAAAUAGCUGUUCAGUUUCUCCCGGCAUCCCUGGGUGGAAGAAAUGUAAGCCUGCAGCUGCCUGAGAACAAAGUCAACAGAGGAAGGAAGAACUCUAGGGUUAACAAACGACAAAAAAGGAUUUUAGAGACAUCAACCAAUUCUGGAACCUGCUGUGCCUGAAGCCGGUGUACUUCAGAACUUUUCGGCUAAGUGGGCCAAUGCUUGGCUUUUAUUUCCCAAUAGGCCCAUUUGAGCUAGAUUGAUCUUGCUUGCACCCCAAAGAGUUCUGCCUGAUAUAACCUCUCCCCUAGCCACUGUGUUCCACUUCCCCUCAGCUACUCUGCGUCAGACCCUGAAGCUGCCAAAAGCCUCCCUGUGAGACUUGAUCUCAAUUUCAGAGUUCACAACCCUUCCAUGACUUUUGGGAAAGAUCCUGACAUGUGCCCCUCCCUUAUAACAAGACCCUCUGUGACAGCCAUCAACAUAAAGUCAAUUACCAGGCCUGGUGGCAUGUGCCUAUAGUCCUAACUGUUCUGAAGGCUAAGGUGGGAGGAUUGCUUGAGCCUAGGAGUUCAAGAUCAGCCUGGGCAAUGUAAUGAGACCCUGUCUCUACAAAAAAUUUACAAAUGAGGAUUAAUAACCAGAAUACGUAAGGAGCUCAAACAACUCUAGGACAAAAUCUAAUAAUCCAACCAAAAACUGGGCAAAAGAUCUCAACAGAUAUUUCUCAAUAGAAGACAUACAAAUGGCAAACAGGUAUAUGAAAAGGUACUUGGCAUCAUUGAUAAUCAGAGAAAUACAAAUCAAAAUUACAAUGAGAUGUCAUCUCAUCCCAGUUAAAAUGGCUUAUAUCCAAAAGACAGGCAAUAACAAAUUCUGGCAAGGGUGUAGAGAAAAGGGAAUCCUUGUACACUGUUGGCGGGAAGGUAAGUUAAUAUAGCCACUGUGAAGAACAAUUUUGAAAUUCCUCAAAAAAUUAAAAAUAGAGCUACCAUAUGAUCUAGCAAUCCCACUGCUGGGCAUAUACCCAAAAGGAAGGAAAUCAGUAUACGGAAGAGAUAUCUGCACUCCCAAGUUUAUUGUAGCACUGUUCACAAAAGCCAAGACUUGAAAGCAACCUAAAUAUCCGCCAACAGAUGAAUGGAUAAAGAAAAUGUGGUGCUUAUACACAAGGGAGUACUAUUCAGCCAUGAAAAAGAAUGAGAUCCUGUC